GACGAACGCUGGCGGCGCGCCUAACACAUGCAAGUCGAACGGAGCUGAGAGAAGCUUGCUUUUCUUAGCUUAGUGGCGAACGGGUGAGUAACGCGUGAGUAACCUGCCCUGGAGUGGGGGACAACAGUUGGAAACGACUGCUAAUACCGCAUAAGCCCACGAUCCGGCAUCGGAGUGAGGGAAAAGGAUUUAUUCGCUUCAGGAUGGACUCGCGUCCAAUUAGCUAGUUGGUGAGGUAACGGCCCACCAAGGCGACGAUUGGUAGCCGGACUGAGAGGUUGAACGGCCACAUUGGGACUGAGACACGGCCCAGACUCCUACGGGAGGCAGCAGUGGGGGAUAUUGCACAAUGGGGGAAACCCUGAUGCAGCGACGCCGCGUGGAGGAAGAAGGUUUUCGGAUUGUAAACUCCUGUCGUUAGGGACGAUAAUGACGGUACCUAACAAGAAAGCACCGGCUAACUACGUG
rnacentral:rRNA from 1 species